rnacentral:rRNA from 1 species
CCUGGUUGAUCCUGCCAGUAGUCAUAUGCUUGUCUCAAAGAUUAAGCCAUGCAUGUGUAAGUAUGAACUAAUUCAAACUGUGAAACUGUGAAUGGCUCAUUAAAUCAGUUAUAGUUUGUUUGAUGGUACUUGCUACUCGGAUAACCAUAGUAAAUCUAGAGCUAAUACGUGCAACAAACCGUGACUUCUAGAGGGGACACAUUUAUUAGAUAAAAGGUCGACGCGGACCUAGUCCGUUGCUCUGAUGAUUCAUGAUAACUUGACGGAUUGCACAGCCUUUGUGCUGGCGAUGCAUCAUUGAAAAUUCUGCCCUAUCAACUUUCGAUGGUAGGAUAUUGGCCUACUAUGGUGGUGAUGGGUGACGGAGAAUUAGGUUUUGAUUCUAGAGAGGGAGCCCGAGAACGGCUACCGCAUCCAAGGAAGGCAACAGGUGCGCAAAUUACCCAAUCCUGACACGGGGAGGUAGUGACAAUAAAUAACAAUACCGGGCUCUUCGAGUCUAGUAAUAUGAAUGAGUACAAUCUAAAUCCCUUAACGAGGAUCCAUUGGAGGGCAAUUCUGGUGCCAGCAGCCCCGGUAAUUCCAACUCCAAUAGCGUAUAUUUAAGUUGCUACAGUUAAAAAGCUCGUAGUUGGAUCUCGGGAUAUGUCUGUCGGUCUGCCUUAUGGUGUGGACCGUCAGUCGCGUCCUUUCUGCCGGCGAUGCCUUCCUGGCCUUAAUUGGCCAGGUAGUUCCUCCGACGUUGUUACUUUGAAGAAAUUAGAGUGAUCAAAGCAAGCCUUCACUCUGUAUACAUUAGCAUGGGAUAACUUCAUAGGAUUUCGAUCCUAUUCUGUUGGCCUUCGGGAUCAGAGUAAUGAUUAACAGGGAAGGUCGGGGGCAUUCGUAUUUCAUAGUCAGAGGUGAAAUUCUUGGAUUCAUGAAAGACGAACAACUGUGCGCGCAUAACCCCUUGUGUCGCACUCAUCCAAAAUCCGAGCCCCUUGUGCGCGCAUAACCCGACCCAUGGUGCGCCGACCUCCCCGGACAGCACAUCACGGCCAUGGCCCGGCAGGCGCGCGUGAGGUGCAGCCAUGGCACGGCGCGUGCGCUGAAGGGUGCGGCCAUGGCAGUGCACUCACGCAAGAGGGUACAACCAUGGCGCUGUGCGCGCGGCGCAAUUCGAGGCUUCCAAAUGCACUACCAUGCAAUGUCACCGAGCCAUUCGUGUGCAAACGAUAUUGGAAUGAGCUGAAACUUUUUUACAUGUGCACAACGACAAAUGAGGAUGUUCCUCAGCGUGUGGUGAGGUUUGGUAAUUUCUACGAUUUAUCGUAAUUUUUUGAAUGACAGAAACUAAAUAAAUCACCAAAAAUUGGCACAUCAUCCAACAUUUCUCAAAAAUUGAGGAUAGACCCCUCUUUGGUGCCCCUUUAAAGUUGCGAAAUUGGUUUGGGAAAGAAAGUUCAAAAUCUUGAGUUUUUGAAAAAAGUGACGCUUCGGCUACAUACGAUGUGCACUACUGCCAGGGCCAAAGUGGCCCUGAUGUGCAACCGGAGCACACCACGGACCUAGCCCCGAUGAGCACGAAAGAUUUUACUAACUUAGUUUCUCAUUUUGCAGGAAACAUAGUCUCGGAAAUGCCUUCCGAACAUGAUCGGGAAUGACCCAAAGUCUCGGUCACAUGAUGUCCGACCACUCCCGGCCCCGACACGCCCAACAACGAACAUCCCGAUCACCUACCAACGACCAACAA